UCUAACAUGGCACACUGCUCUCACCCUCUUACACGUGAUAUGCCCCAUCACUAAACAAAAGAGACACACUCGGUCUCUUUAUCGCCCAAGGCAGCACCAGCACCCUUAUUUCCCCAAAAUUUUCUUUUUCUCCUCUUCUCCUCCUUUCUCAUCUUUACAGUGGGGGCUAUGGCAUAGUUAGUGAGCUGAAUUUAUUCAUGGCAGUGCAAGUAGAGUGGUGAAGUGUUGAGCUUGGAUUCAAGUCCUCCAUCACAUUUGAGCUUUGGGUAACGAUUAUUGGUGUUAGGACUUUCAAUCUACCAAUUAUCUUGAGACGUUGUUGUUGCAGGUAAUGAGGAAGAAGAUGAGGAUGUUGACUCUGUAACCUUAUACCUAGGCUACUAUGGAUGAGGCCAUUAGGUGCCUUGGGAUCGUUUGACUAACUUUUUAGUCAAUCUUUUGUUUACAUCAUUUUUUGUAACACACACACUUAUGAUGUAGUUUUGGGAUCAUGCUGCAUGUGGCACAUGUGUUUAGACUGUCUUGUUUUGUAAUGAUACAAUGUAACCGUUUAUCAAGAUAAAUGUCUCUUGUUAGCUCU